rnacentral:rRNA from 1 species
GAUGAACGCUGGCGGCGUGCCUAAUACAUGCAAGUCGAGCGAACAGACGAGGAGCUUGCUCCUUCGACGUUAGCGGCGGACGGGUGAGUAACACGUAGGUAACCUACCUAUAAGACUGGGAUAACUUCGGGAAACCGGAGCUAAUACCGGAUAAUAUUUCGAACCGCAUGGUUCGAUAGUGAAAGAUGGCUUUGCUAUCACUUAUAGAUGGACCUGCGCCGUAUUAGCUAGUUGGUAAGGUAACGGCUCACCAAGGCAACGAUACGUAGCCGACCUGAGAGGGUGAUCGGCCACACUGGAACUGAGACACGGUCCAGACUCCUACGGGAGGCAGCAGUAGGGAAUCUUCCGCAAUGGGCGAAAGCCUGACGGAGCAACGCCGCGUGAGUGAUGAAGGUCUUCGGAUCGUAAAACUCUGUUAUUAGGGAAGAACAAACGUGUAAGUAACUGUGCACGUCUUGACGGUACCUAAUCAGAAAGCCACGGCUAACUACGUG